AUUGAACGCUGGCGGCAUGCCUUACACAUGCAAGUCGAACGGUAGCGGGCCUUCGGGUGCCGACGAGUGGCGAACGGGUGAGUAAUGUAUCGGAACGUACCUUUCAGUGGGGGAUAACGUAGCGAAAGUUACGCUAAUACCGCAUAUUCUGUGAGCAGGAAAGCAGGGGAUCGCAAGACCUUGCGCUGAUUGAGCGGCCGAUAUCAGAUUAGCUAGUUGGUGAGGUAAGGGCCCACCAAGGCGACGAUCUGUAGCGGGUCUGAGAGGAUGAUCAGCCACACUGGAACUGAUGCACGGUCCAGACUCCUACGGGAGGCAGCAGUGGGGAAUUUUGGACAAUGGGGGCAACCCUGAUCCAGCCAUGCCGCGUGAGUGAAGAAGGCCUUCGGGUUGUAAAGCUCUUUCGGCCGGGAAGAAAUCGUAUCAGCUAAUACCUGGUGCGGAUGACGGUACCGGCAUAAGAAGCACCGGCUAACUACGUGCCAGCCGCCGCAGUAAGAC
rnacentral:rRNA from 1 species